AUGCUCCUAGGCUCGAUCUUUCUACUGAAACUAAACAUACUCACCCAAUACUUAUUAUCGCUUGUCGACCUUGCGGAGAUUCAUCGAUUCAACGACUGGGUUGCAAACUUAGGGCUUCUAGAGUUCGACAGGGUCGGGGCGAGAUUUACCUGGACCAAUCGACAGGUUACCCUGACCCUUAGUGUGCUGGACCGUGUGUUUGUCUCCCCUGACUGGGAGCUUCGGUUCCCUUUGUCCUCUCUCCAGGCUAUUACCCGCAUUGGGUCUGACCACGUUCCGCUUCUCUUGUCGUCUAGAGAUGAGAGACCCCCCCUCCCCCGCGGUUUCGUUUGGAAGCUUCCUGGCUCUGGCAGCCAGGCUUUAUGGCCGCCGUCCAGGCUCACUGGGUCUCGGCGGAUCUCUGCGGAGGAGUGGGCUCAUAGAUACGAUCUGGAAGAUUCUCUCAUGGAGAUCUAUUCCAAGGAGGAGGAAUUUUGGCGCCAGCGAGGCUCUAUAAAUUGGGUGAUGUUUGGUGACGCCAACAUAGCUUACUUCCAGGCCAUCGCGAAUGGUCGUAGGCGACGAUGCUCCAUUCCCCUCUUAUGGGAAGGAGGUCAGCUGUUUCAAGACCCUCAGGUUAUCCGCUUGCUGGUCGACGACUUCUACAAGUCGUUAUUUGCAGGGCGCCCUCGGGGUGGUAUCGCCCUUGCUGACCAUAUUUCGUCGCCUAACCAACAAAUCUCCCCGGACGAGAAUGCGGCCCUGCUCGCCCCAUUUGAUGCCGCAGAGGUGGAGGCCUUUGUCAAAGCCAUGAACCCGGCCUCGGCCCCAGGUCCCGAUGGAAUGCCGGUCCGUUUUUUCCAGGCUUUCUGGCCGAUGGUCAAGGAGAUCAUCCUUGACCUGUUCCGUGAGUUCUCUAGGGGGACAUUAGACAUGUCCCGGCUUAACUACGGGAUCAUCUACCUGAUUCCCAAGGUGUCGGGAGCUGCGGACAUUAGGCAGUUCCGCCCUAUCACAAUCCUCAAUGUGAUAUUCCAGAUUUUGGCGAAGGGGUACGCCACUAGGGCGGCCCUAAUCGCCCCCCGGAUCCACGACCCGAACCAGUCGGCCUUCACGAAAGGCAGGUAUAUUCUGGAUGGGAUCCUCAUUCUUCACGAGGUCAUCCAUGAGGUCAAGAGCAAGCACCUUCGUGUUGUGUUCUUCAAGAUUGACUUCCAUAAAGCAUGCGACACCGCUCAUUGGUCCUUCCUUCGGGAGGUGUUGCUCAAGCGUGGAUUCGACUCCCACUGGGUUGCCCGGGUGAUGCAGUUAGUAACGAGCGGUCACUUGGCCAAACGAGCCAGCCACAUUAGGGGGAUUUGCCCCCAUCUCGUGGCCAAUGGAGGUCUAACCCACCUCCAAUAUGCAGACGACACCAUUAUGAUGGUGGAAGGAUCGGACGAGGACAUCCAGAACCUCAAGUUCCUCCUCCUCUGCUUUCAGGAGAUGUCGGACCUCACGAUUAACUUCGCCAAAAGUGAGGUGAUGGUCCUUGGAUACUCUCAGGCAGAAGCUCAGCGAAUUUCCAAUCGCUUGAAUUGCCGCUUGGGGUCCUUCCCGACUACUUACCUAGGCAUGCCAAUUAGUGACACGCGUCUACUGGAGAAAGACUUCCACCCGAUAAUUGCCAAGCUCCAACCUCGGAUGGAGCCUUGGCAGGGGAGAUGUCUUUCCAAAGCCGCUCGAGUGAUUUUGAUGAACUCCUCCCUUAUUAGCCUACUGAUGUACGUCAUGGGAUUCUAUAGUCUACAUGAAUCCCUGCAUCAUGAGGUCACCAAACUCCUUUCCAGAUUCUUCUGGGCUGGAGAGAACAAUAAACAGAAGUACCACAUGGUGAAAUGGUCUGAGAUCUAUAAGCCUAAAGGCCAAGGAGGCCUUGGGGUCAUUUCUUCCAAGCGGGUGAAUAUUGCCCUCCUCUCCAAAUGGCUUUGGCGGAUUCAGGCCGAUGAGGGCGGCCUUUGGCUUGAGAUUAUCCAGGCAAAGUACCUCCGCGGGCAACCGCUGGCCUUCGCCCCUAGAUUUGGAGGGUCCCAAUUCUGGCAAUCGGUGAUCCGUCUGAUGUCGGUCUUGCGCAUUCGGACCUCCAUUAAAGUGGGCACCGGUUCCGGCACCCUAUUUUGGCUGGAUAGAUGGGCCGGGACCCGUCCCUUUGCAGAACGAUUUUACGCGUUAUUCUCGAUUUGUGUCCGCCCUCAGCUCUCGGUGGCGGUGGCUUUAGCUGACCUGGGCGCUAUUGCCUUCCGCCGUACCUUCGGGGCGGUGGAGCUCGAGCAAUGGGAUGAAUUGCUCGAGUGUAUUGCCCUCCACUCCCCCUCCCUAGAACCCGACUCGUUGUCUUGGCAUCUCGAGCCAAGUGGUCGAUUCUCGACUAGAUCCCUUUACCAGGCGAUUGUUCCCACCCCUGGCCCGGUGGAGCUAUCGGUCAGAAAACGUAAUGGCCAUGGGGAUGGCCUCUGCCCCAUUUGUUUGGUACCGGAAGACUGCAACCAUAUCUUCUUCCGGUGCCCUGCGGCGCAGUUUCUUUGGAGCUGCUUUCGGGAGGUGGUUGGCGGCAAUUGGUGCCAUGACAACCUCCCGGACUUGUUUGGGGAGGUCCUUAGGCUCCCCAGCGCUAGUCGCGCCCCCACUUGGGUAGCUUUGGGUACCCUGGCAUUGACCCUCUGGUGUACCCGCAAUAAACUAGUCAUCGAGCGCAUGAUUCCAUGCCGUGUGACUGAUGCAAUCUAUAAAAUGCAUGGCUUCUUACAGCUCUGGAGACCGCUUAGCAAGCGGCGCGACCGAGACGUCAUCGACAACAUCAUUGCAGCAGGUCUUCGUUCCUCGGCGUCGGCAUUUGCUCCUCCACCGCCACCACCUCCCGAGCCGGAUUAG
rnacentral:rRNA from 1 species